rnacentral:tRNA from 1 species
CGGGACGUGGCCUAGCGGCAAGGCGCCUGCUUUGGGAGCAGGAGAUCGUGGGUUCAAAUCCCACCGUCCCGA